rnacentral:rRNA from 1 species
UACGGAAGGCAGCAGUGGGGAAUAUUGCACAAUGGGCGAAAGCCUGAUGCAGCUAUGCCGCGUGUAUGAAGAAGGCCUUAGGGUUGUAAAGUACUUUUCAUCGGGGAGGAAAAAAACAAAAACUAAUAAUUUUUAUUUUCUUGACGUUACCCGAAAAAGAAGCACCGGCUAACUCCGUGCCAGCAGCCGCGGUAAUACGGAGGGUGCUAGCGUUAAUCAGAAUUACUGGGCGUAAAGAGCACGUAGGUGGUUUUUUUAAGUCAGAUGUGAAAUCCCUGGGCUUAACCUAGGAACUGCAUUUUGAAACUGAAAUACUAGAGUAUCGUAGAGGGAGGUAGAAUUCUAGGUGUAGCGGUGAAAUGCGUAGAUAUCCGGAGGAAGUACCUGUGGCGAAAGCGGCCGUCCUAAACCGAAUACUGACACUGAGGUGCGAAAGCGUGGGAGCAAACAGGGAUUAGAUACC